CCUACGGGAGGCAGCAGUGAGGAAUAUUGGUCAAUGGGCGCGAGCCUGAACCAGCCAAGUAGCGUGAAGGAUGACUGCCCUACGGGUUGUAAACUUCUUUUAUAAAGGAGUAAAGUGAAGCACGUGUGCCUUUUUGUAUGUACUUUAUUAAUAAGGUUCGGCUAACUCCGUGCAAGCAGCCGCGGUAAUACGGAGGAUCCGAGAGUUGUCCGGAUUUAUUGGGUUUAAAGGGAGCGGAGAUGGGUUGUUAAGUCAGUUGUGAAAGUUUGCGGCUCAACCGUAAAAUUGCAAUUGAUAAUGGCAGUCUUGAGUACAGUGGAGGUAGGCGGAAUUCGUGGUGGAGCG
rnacentral:rRNA from 1 species